rnacentral:rRNA from 1 species
GAGCUGGCGGCAGCUACCAUGCAGUCGAGCGGUAACAGGGGUAGCUUGCUACCCGCUGACGAGCGGCGGACGGGUGAGUAAUGCAUAGGAAUCUGCCCGAUAGUGGGGGAUAACCUGGGGAAACCCAGGCUAAUACCGCAUACGUCCUACGGGAGAAAGGGGGCUCCGGCUCCCGCUAUUGGAUGAGCCUAUGUCGGAUUAGCUAGUUGGUAAGGUAAUGGCUUACCAAGGCAACGAUCCGUAGCUGGUCUGAGAGGAUGAUCAGCCACAUCGGGACUGAGACACGGCCCGAACUCCUACGGGAGGCAGCAGUGGGGAAUAUUGGACAAUGGGGGCAACCCUGAUCCAGCCAUGCCGCGUGUGUGAAGAAGGCCCUCGGGUUGUAAAGCACUUUCAGCGAGGAAGAACGCCUAUCGGUUAAUACCCGGUAGGAAAGACAUCACUCGCAGAAGAAGCACCGGCUAACUCCGUGCCAGCAGCCGCGGUAAUACGGAGGGUGCAAGCGUUAAUCGGAAUUACUGGGCGUAAAGCGCGCGUAGGUGGCUUGAUAAGCCGGUUGUGAAAGCCCCGGGCUCAACCUGGGAACGGCAUCCGGAACUGUCAGGCUAGAGUGCAGGAGAGGAAGGUAGAAUUCCCGGUGUAGCGGUGAAAUGCGUAGAGAUCGGGAGGAAUACCAGUGGCGAAGGCGGCCUUCUGGACUGACACUGACACUGAGGUGCGAAAGCGUGGGUAGCAAACAGGAUUAGU